UACGUAGGGGCAAGCGUUGUCCGGAAUCAUUGGGCGUAAAGCGCGUGUAGGCGGUCCGGUAAGUCCGCUGUGAAAGUCGGGGGCUCAACCCUCGGAUGCCGGUGGAUACUGUCGGGCUUGAGUACGGAAGAGGCGAGUGGAAUUCCUGGUGUAGCGGUGAAAUGCGCAGAUAUCAGGAGAAACACCAAUUGCGAAGGCAGCUCGCUGGGACGUUACUGACGCUGAGACGCGAAAGCGUGGGGAGCAACAGG
rnacentral:rRNA from 1 species